AAAAUUCAGAUAUACUGUACAGGUUAAACCAAAUUGGAAAUAUUACUUUAACAAAAGCAAGAACUGCUAGGAAUAAGAAUGUCGACAAACAAGGACAUCGCAUUGCAUAGACUUCAAAAGACUAAGGAUAUUGACUCGCUGAUUGAAAUAUGCGAUGUAGUGAUAUGCACAAAUGUUUCCCAAGAGAAAACAAUUUUUGACAUAUGCUUUACAACUUGAAGCUAAUUAUUUCACUUUGCCGAAUUUGAUUUUAUUAGUUUAAUUAAUUGAGUUGAUAUUGAGAGGCAGUUAAUGAAUUCACGCACUCCUACUUUUUUUUUUUUUGGUUUAGUUGAUUGAUGAGUGGAGGUAGGGUGGGUUUUUUGGCUUACAUAUGAUAUCAUAUCAUUGUGUAGCAUUUGGUUUCAGUGCUGGUGAGGAACUCACAAGAAUGUGAGAUUUAUGCCUAUGUGAGCUCAUCAGACUUAGCUAUGAAGAUUGAAGCUUAAAGGAUCGUCGUCCUUUAGAUUUCCAGUUUCUUUUUCCGAAGUAUUCCACAGCCAACUCCCCAAGGAGCUCAAGGGGAACCCUGCUAUUAUCGUUGCCGGUCAAACAUCAAGACUGUGUGUGGAAAUUUGGCUUUGAAUUGUGUACAAUAAUUUUCGUAAUAUACAAGACAGAAGAACAAUUCCAGAAGGUACUUUUCUAUGUUACAUGGCCAAUACUUCGAUCAGCAAGGAGAAGGUAAAUUGCUUCUAUUUAUAUGUGAGCGCUCUCUCAUUUGUUAACUUAAUUAGAUGCUACUGAUCCAUACAUGAGUAGUUUUGAAAUAUGGAUGUGGUAAUGUAUUUGUUGCUGGUAAUCUCUUAUUUCCUUUUUGUUUACACUUUUCUGAAAGGGGACUAUACUUAUCACCAAAGAUAAUGAGCAGGCGUCCCUUAAAUUCUGGAAUUUGACUUGCACAGACAAUUUGUUAGUAUUACCACUCUAUGAUUAAAUUGGUUGUUGCCUAUGAUGGUAUACUCUAAAUGUAUGGCACUUUUAUGUCUAGACAUAGUGUUGGAUGAAGCAUAAGCUUGACGGGUUCAAUUGUACCCAAUAUUUUCGACGCAGAGCACGAACUCAUAUAUAAUUUCAAAAGUGUAAUGGGUUCAGUAGUAAGAAUCUAAAAGUUGAAUCCAUGAAAUUUAAUUUGGAUGCGCCCCUUUGGCGAAAAUGUGACGGUAAUUGCAUAACCAAUAUCCUUUAGUUCAUAUAUAACUCAAGCAUGGAAGUUACUCUACACUAGGUAGGUACAAUUGCAAAAUUUGCUAGAUCUUUUUUAGGAUUAGUGUUGUAUAUAAGAGAUAUGGCAUAGUGAACCUUCAGAACUUCAUCUUGAAAGUUCACAUCAUUUCUAAGUGUGAUUCCAUCUAUUCUACAAGUUAGCUAAACACCUACAAAAUGAAAAAGAAGAGUACUAUCAAAGUACUUCAUGCAUCUGUUGUAUAUGCUUUUUAAUGUUUAUUCUCUGUUGAAAAUUUGAGUAAAAAGUUGUCAGUACUAUGACGUGUUGUUGAUUGGCUUAACUUCUUACUUGGAUUGUUAACAUAGUAUUCCUGAGCCUGAAUUGGGUUGUUCCUCUGACCGAGAUUGUAGUUUUACAUAAGCAUAUGGUAUCCGAUCUUCUUAAGCCCCUAACUUUUAUUCCUCGUGACGUUACCAUAGUUGAUCAUUUCCCUUUGUUGAAAAGCAGUGAUGCUUGAAGAAUAUUUGUGCAUAUUUCAUGCAGGAGAAUUUUUAAAGUAUGUUAAUGAAGUCAUCCUUUUAGUUUAUUGUCAAAACAACAGCUUUGUAAUUUCACAGUGUAUUGUAAGGCCUUUACAAUGAUUUUUGUUAAACAAACUAUAUCUAAGAUCUACAAAUUGGAUGAACGAUUUUAUUAGUCAUUAUUGGUCUUAUUGUGUUCCGAUGAAGUAUUCUUCAGUGUAAAAUUAAGUAGUUAUUGAUAUACUUCUAAAUCAAUAUAUUUGCAAAUGUUUAUAGUUGUGCUGUAUCUGCAUCACAUAAGGUUACACAAUAUGAGCUGUAUGUUUUCCAUGUGCGACUUUUUCAUUCAUUUAAUUUAGUGUUUACUCCUUU